AUGCCAAAGAAGCCUGCUCACAAUCCCAGUGCUUCAACCUCAAUGCCCUCACGGCAAAGCUCCUCAGCAAUGCCCUCACGGCCAAUUUCUUCAAAACCCUCACGGCCAAUUCCUCAAGCUGCACCAGCUCCUCCUAUGUCCUCAGCUCCUCCGACCAAAUCCUCAGCACUUGCGCAUCUCGCCUCGUGCCAAAGGACAACUGGCAUCUCUAUUGCCUCUGGAGCGUCUGGAAGUUCUUCAGCUCCACCAAAUUCCUCAACUGGCCCCACUCUGCUGAAGUCAAAGGCCACUGCUGGACGCGGCUCUCGACCAAGUCCUCACAAGAAGCAGGUCGCCUUUCAAGUGUCGUCUGAUGAAGAUGAAGCUGAUGAUGAAGAACUUGCUGAAAUCAUCAGGGACAGGCAGCUCAGGGCCGCUAGAGCCAAAGGCACAAAUAUGCCUCUGCUUUUGGAUCCAAAAUUGAUCCUUGAUUACAUUGAUCUCCGGCACAAGGACCCCAACACUCCUAUGCCUGACUUCAAGUUGACUCAUGGCCAAAGUCAUAUGUUGACUGCCUUCAUUCAGGAAGAAAAAUGGAAAUUUGAAAAGGCCAGGCAGUUGAAGAAAGCGCAGUACAAGAAGGAGCGCCUCCUGAAGAAAUGUCUCUAUGACAACUGA
rnacentral:rRNA from 1 species